rnacentral:rRNA from 1 species
UACGUAGGGUGCAAGCGUUGUCCGGAAUUAUUGGGCGUAAAGAGCUCGUAGGCGGUCUGUUGCGUCGGCUGUGAAAACCUGGGGCUCAACUCCGGGCCUGCAGCCGAUACGGGCAGACUAGAGUUCGGCAGGGGAGACUGGAAUUCCUGGUGUAGCGGUGAAAUGCGCAGAUAUCAGGAGGAACACCGGUGGCGAAGGCGGGUCUCUGGGCCGAUACUGACGCUGAGGAGCGAAAGCGUGGGGAGCGAACAGG